UAGUUAGUAUAUUCAGAUAGCUAGGUGAGACAACCACAUAUCACAGUAGUUAGUAUAUUCAGAUAGCUAGGUGGGACAACCGCAUAUCACAGUAGUUAGUAUAUUCAGAUAGCUAGGUGAGACAACCACAUAUCACAGUAGUUAGUAUAUUCAUCUUCAGAUAGCUAGGUGGGACAACCACAUAUCACAGUAGUUAGUAUAUUCAGAUAGCUAGGUGAGACAACCACAUAUCACAGUAGUUAGUAUAUUCAGAUAGCUAGGUGAGACAACCACAUAUCACAGUAGUUAGUAUAUUCAGAUAGCUAGGUGAGACAACCACAUAUCACAGUAGUUAGUAUAUUCAGAUAGCUAGGUGAGACAACCACA